rnacentral:rRNA from 1 species
GCAGUCGAGCGCAGGAGCCGUCUGACCCUUCGGGGGGACGACGGUGGAAUGAGCGGCGGACGGGUGAGUAACACGUAAAGAACCUGCCCAUAGGUCUGGGAUAACCACGAGAAAUCGGGGCUAAUACCGGAUGUGUCAUCGGACCGCAUGGUCCGCUGAUGAAAGGCGCUCCGGCGUCGCCCAUGGAUGGCUUUGCGGUGCAUUAGCUAGUUGGUGGGGUAACGGCCCACCAAGGCGACGAUGCAUAGCCGACCUGAGAGGGUGAUCGGCCACACUGGGACUGAGACACGGCCCAGACUCCUACGGGAGGCAGCAGUAGGGAAUCUUCCACAAUGGACGAAAGUCUGAUGGAGCAACGCCGCGUGAACGAUGAAGGCUUUCGGGUCGUAAAGUUCUGUUGUAAGGGAAGAACAAGUGCCGCAGGCAAUGGCGGCACCUUGACGGUACCUUGCGAGAAAGCCACGGCUAACUACGUGCCAGCAGCCGCGGUAAUACGUAGGUGGCAAGCGUUGUCCGGAAUUAUUGGGCGUAAAGCGCGCGCAGCGGCCUCUUAAGUCUGAUGUGAAAGCCCCCGGCUCACCCGGGGAGGGCCAUUGGAAACUGGGAGGCUUGAGUAUAGGAGAGAAGAGUGGAAUUCCACGUGUAGCGUGAAAUGCCUAGAGAUGUGGAGGACACCAGUG